GCCCGCCGGGCGGCGGCGUUCGACCGCGCGACCGGUGUGGCCCGGCGCUACGGCGAGGCCCUGGAGGCGCGCAGGCGCGGCACCGGCGACGGGCC
rnacentral:tRNA from 1 species